UACGUAGGUGGCAAGCGUUGUCCGGCUUUACUGGGCGUAAAGAGCGCGCAGGCGGUCGGAUAAGUCGCGUGUGCAAGCCCCCGGCUCCCCUGGGGAGGGUCACGCGAUACUGUUCGACUUGAAGGCAGGAGAGGGUAGUGGAAUUCCCGGUGUAGUGGUGAAAUGCGUAGAUAGCGGGAGGAACACCAGUGGCGAAGGCGACUACCUGGCCUGUUCUUGACGCUGAGGCGCGAAAGCUAGGGGAGCAAACGGG
rnacentral:rRNA from 1 species